GGGCCUCGGUCUCCUCCUCUGGGAAAUGGGGGGAGAUGACGUGGUGCAGGCCUUACGGCAGGGUGAUACCGUCCAAGGGAGGACAGGAAUGGGAGGAGAUUCGUGCUGGCUCCUCCUCGAGAGCUGAGGGGAGAGCAGUGAUGACAGUCAGAUGACAGGGAGUCCUCAGGAGAGCCCUGGAGGCAGGUGGAGUUCUCCCCACUCUUUCCUGAUGAGGAAAGAGUCUCAGGGAGGCCUGAGCAGGCCCAAGGUCAGACAAGAGUGAGUCCUGGAGCCAAGACUGGUCUAGAAUCAGAGCACCCUGGAGGUGGGAACAGCAUAGGCAGCAGGGGACUGGAGCCAGAUGGCCAGGGUCUGAGGUCAGGGGCCUUGAGGGACAUGCGAAAGGGAGCAGGGCCUCUCUGACCCUGUCCUCGGCACUGACAGGAGGCGACCUCCGUGUUGGUCAGUGCAUAGAGGGGCCGCCAUAGAGCCCGGGAGAGGCGGCGGCAGCAGGGUGUCAUCCCCUCCCUCAAGAUGAUCUUCAGUUACCUGGAGCUGCUGCAUGAUGAGACAGAUUAUUAUGUGGAGGGGAAUGUGCUCAGCUGUCGGAAUGAGGAAUUCAAAUUCAUCAAGGACAUCGAGAUGGUCCAGAAGGCUGCAAAUCUGUACACCGUGCAGCCCAAUGAGCAUUUUGGUGCCUGGUUCCAGGCCGUGGAGCCCCUGAGUGAGGAGGCGAGCUACAGCCUGUCCUGUCAGCUGGAGCCACGAUACCAGUGGGCCAGAAAGAUUCGACUCUUCUUCAAAGACAAGAAGAGCCACUCAUCUUCCCGCCCAGGGCUGAACACCAGGCCCCCAAAAAAGAGCCCAGCGGUGGUGGCAGAUGACGCUCCUGAGACCAGCUGAACUACAGCAGGGACACAGCGGGGACACUCAGGUACACAGGUCCACCUCUCAGAUGCUGAUGUGAAUGAAAACUUUGUGAUCCAUUUCCUGGGGUCCCUGAAGGCCACAAGGCAGUGGACAAUCUGCUCAUCUCCCUCACACAUUUUCCCCAGAGCCUAUUUCCCUCUUUGGAGGGGCCAUGUUUUUGUUGUCAAUGAUAAAUGCUAAGUUUGAGUAUUCUAUUAAAUUUCUGUUUUUUUUCUCAGCCUGGGAGUGGACGUGUGGUUCUUUCACUCUCUGAGCUCAUGGAAAUGAGAUCCAGAAUCUCACAUUCCUCCUUGAAUUCAGAAACCUCGCAGAGUCCUCAGCUCAGGGCAUGUGGUGAAGGGAGAAGUGCCAGUGCCGUCCCUGGCUGCUGGACAGUCCCGUGUCCCCCUCACUCAGAGGACAGGGUCAUUGCAGUGUGGUUCACCUGGUCCUAGAGCAGAAGCAGCCCCUCCGAUCUCCUGGGGCUGAAACGUUGGAGGGACUUUCUCUGUCAGAACAACAGCCACGGAGACGGGGGUGUCUUUAAAAGUAGCACUUGCUUGGGG
rnacentral:lncRNA from 1 species